rnacentral:rRNA from 1 species
CCUACGGGAGGCAGCAGUGGGGAAUUUUGGACAAUGGGCGAAAGCCUGAUCCAGCAAUGCCGCGUGAGUGAAGAAGGCCUUCGGGUUGUAAAGCUCUUUUGUCAGGGAAGAAACGGUGGGAGCUAAUAUCUCUUGCUAAUGACGGUACCUGAAGAAUAAGCACCGGCUAACUACGUGCCAGCAGCCGCGGUAAUACGUAGGGUGCAAGCGUUAAUCGGAAUUACUGGGCGUAAAGCGUGCGCAGGCGGUUUUGUAAGUCUGAUGUGAAAUCCCCGGGCUCAACCUGGGAAUUGCAUUGGAGACUGCAAGGCUAGAAUCUGGCAGAGGGGGGUAGAAUUCCACGUGUAGCAGUGAAAUGCGUAGAUAUGUGGAGGAACACCGAUGGCGAAGGCAGCCCCCUGGGUCAAGAUUGACGCUCAUGCACGAAAGCGUGGGGAGCAAACAGGAUUAGAUACCCUGGUAGUCCACGCCCUAAACGAUGUCUACUAGUUGUCGGGUCUUAAUUGACUUGGUAACGCAGCUAACGCGUAGAAGUACGACCGCCGUCGGGAGGUACGGUCGCGAGAAGUAAACGUACGAAGUAGUAAGUUAGUACGGACGUAGAGACGUUAGCCGACGGACGACGACGAGGGAGGAGG